rnacentral:rRNA from 1 species
GACGAACGCUGGCGGCGUGCUUAACACAUGCAAGUCGAACGAGAUCCAUGGGGUAGCAAUACCCCGGAAGAUCUAGUGGCGAACGGGUGAGUAACACGUGAGCAACCUGCCCCGAAGACUGGGAUAACACCGGGAAACCGGUGCUAAUACCGGAUGUCCUCAUCGAAUCGCAUGGUUUGAUGAGGAAAUGGAUUCCGCUUCGGGAGGGGCUCGCGGGGUAUCAGUUUGUUGGUGGGGUAACGGCCUACCAAGACAUCGACGCCUAGCUGGUCUGAGAGGACGAUCAGCCACACUGGAACUGAGACACGGGUCCAGACUCCUACGGGAGGCAGCAGUGGGGAAUCUUGCCCAAUGGGCGAAAGCCUGAGGCAGCAACGCCGCGUGCGGGAUGACGG